UGGCUGAGGACGAUUCCCUGAGCCUUGACAAAGCAGGAGCCCUCCGUGGCGGUGCGUCGGUGUCGAGGCUCCAGUCUGACUAAUCCAGGGGGUCGACAAAACAGAUUCGGGACACUAUGCUACACGGAGGGCCUACCAGGAUGCAGAAACAGCAGACGGAGUCCAGGGAAAGCAGUGCGGCAUCCCAGCCUCAGGCCUGCCCGUACGGUGUUCGGACGGAAUGAAGUUGAUAAUAGUGAGACCUUGUUGGUACAAGACUAUGUAACAUAACCUGCGCUUCUCAACAAAGAAUUGCUUUUCUGACUUCUGCACUCAAUAGCAAGACAAAUCUCUCCUCUGCCUUCUCCUUAUCAGACUACUCAACAUGAAGGCAAUAAGAAUGAAGACCUCUAUGUAUAAUAAUUGACUUCCACUUAAUAAAUACCUGAACAGAUGUUGAGUACAAGCUGAUCCACCUACGUUCAACCUGAGAGAGUCCACAUCCACAGACUGUUUCAUUUCCCUUUUUCAAUUUACAUAGAAGCAUAGAUUCUUGCUGGCAUAUACAAAUGCGCCAUUUAAGGCAAUCAAAAAUGGUUCCACAUCUCAUCUGAUUUCCACAAUUGUUGCUGUAACGAUGGACUACUGAGGAGAGAGACAAUUUCUCUGGCACAUCUUCCCACAUUUUAGCAACAUGUUCAUGGAGAGCCAAUAUUCAGUAAUUACAGCCCAAUUCCUCACAAUUUCACAAUUCGCUAACAAUAUGCAUUUUCACAAUGUAAAGCUGAUUUUCCUUUAACCAAAUCAAACAUGAAAAGAUAGCUGCAUGCAAUGGGCAAUCUAGAUCAUUAGAAGAUUGAUGUAAAAUUAGAGGACACUGAGACUGGAAUAGAUUGCAAACUUCAGGGAGCUCAGAAAACUUGUAAACUCUACAUUUUGAGGAAAUAUGUUGUCGAUGCUUUUGCAACUCUAUGCAGUAACUUAACAAAUAAAGCCUUAAAGUAAC
rnacentral:lncRNA from 1 species